GAUGAACAACGCAGCGAAAUGCGAUAAGUAGUGUGAAUUGCAGAAUUCAGUGAAUCAUCGAAUCUUUGAACGCACAUUGCGCCCUUUGGUAUUCCAAAGGGCAUGCCUGUUCGAGCGUCAUUUGUACCCUCAAGCUUUGCUUGGUGUUGGGCGUCUUGUCUCUAGCUUUGCUGGAGACUCGCCUUAAAGUAAUUGGCAGCCGGCCUACUGGUUUCGGAGCGCAGCACAAGUCGCACUCUCUAUCAGCAAAGGUCUAGCAUCCAUUAAGCCUUUUUUUCAACUUUUGACCUCGGAUCAGGUAGGGAUACCCGCUGAACUUAAGCAUAUCAAUAAGCGGAGGA
rnacentral:misc_RNA from 1 species